UCAUGCAUGUGCACAGAGGAAGCCUG
rnacentral:piRNA from 1 species